rnacentral:rRNA from 1 species
GAGUUUGAUCUUGGCUCAGGAUGAACGCUGGCGGCGUGCCUAAUACAUGCAAGUCGAGCGAACAGACGGGGAGCUUGCUCCCCUGACGUUAGCGGCGGACGGGUGAGUAACACGUGGGUAACCUACCUAUAAGACUGGGAAUAACUCCGGGGAACCGGGGCUAAUGCCGGAUAACAUGUUGGACCGCAUGGUCCUACAGUGAAAGACGGUCUUGCUGUCACUUAUAGGUGGACCCGCGCCGUAUUAGCUAGUUGGUAAGGUAACGGCUUACCAAGGCAACGAUACGUAGCCGACCUGAGAGGGUGAUCGGCCACACUGGAACUGAGACACGGUCCAGACUCCUACGGGAGGCAGCAGUAGGGAAUCUUCCGCAAUGGGCGAAAGCCUGACGGAGCAACGCCGCGUGAGUGAUGAAGGCC